AUUGAACGCUGGCGGCAGGCCUAACACAUGCAAGUCGAACGAGUGGCGGACGGGUGAGUAAUGUCUGGGAAACUGCCUGGUAGUGGGGGAUAACGUCCGGAAACGGGCGCUAAUACCGCAUACUAUCAGUUGAGCCUAGGGCGGAUUAGCUAGUUGGUGUGGUAACGGCCGACCAAGGCGACGAUCCGUAACUGGUCUGCGAGGAUGAUCAGGCACACUGGGACUGAGAAACGGUCCAGACUCCGACGGGAGGGAGCAGGGGGGAAUAUUGGACAAUGGGCGAAAGCCUGAUGCAGCCAUGCCGCGUGUAUGAAGAAGGCCUUCGGGUUGUAAAGUACUUUCAGCGGGGAGGCGUUACCCGCAGAGGAAGCACCGGCUAACUCCGUGCCAGCCGCCGCGGUAAUUC
rnacentral:rRNA from 1 species